rnacentral:rRNA from 1 species
UACGUAGGGGGGCGAGCGUUGUCCGGAUUUACUGGGCGUAAAGCGCGUGUAGGCGACCCGGUAAGUCCGCUGUGAAAGUCGGGGGCUCAACCCUCGGAUGCCGGUGGAUACUGUCGGGCUUGAGUGACGGAAGGAGGCGAGUGGAAUUCCUGGUGUAGCGGUGAAAUGCGCAGAUAUCGGGAGGAACACCGUAGCGAAGGCGGCACUCUGGCCGGUACUGACGCUGAGGAGCGAAAGCGUGGG